GAGGGUAUAGCUCAAGUGGUUAGAGCACAUGUUUAGCGUGCAUGAGGUCCUGGGUUCAAUCCCCAGUGCCUCCC
rnacentral:tRNA from 1 species